ensembl:snRNA U6 U6 spliceosomal RNA
GUGCAUAUUUCAGCUGCACAUAUCUGAAAUUGGAACAAUACAGAGAAGAUUAGCAAGCCCUGCACAAAAAUGGCAUGCAAAUUUGUGAAGUGUUUCAUAUUUUU